UUUCCUCACCUGGAAGCAUCAUCAGGGAGCUUACAUGUUGGAUGUUACCAAAAGAAUGCGUCUAGCCUGGAUAGCAGCUGUGAGACGAGCUGAUAUUCAGUUCUCUACCAUCCACAGAUAUCUGUUGGUGUGCUCCAGUAUUUUCAUUCAGGUAAGUUCUAAAUAAGUUCAUAUUAUUCUUUUUUAUUUUCAAUGCGCUCUGAGGUCAUAGCAAAUUAGAACAAAAUAUGCAGAACUACACUGUAAAAACUGUGAUUUGGGUUAAUUAGUAUCUAAUAGGAAAGUAAUAGUAACUAUUACUCAGUAAAAACAUGUAUGUGUUGUUUUAAUUAAAUCUAAGCAAAAUUAAACAUUUUUGAGAUGUUCAGUUAUUUAAAUUUACACAAUUUUGUUUGGGGUAAAUUAAGCAAUAGUUUGUUGAGCAGAUUUAACAAAAAUGUAUGAGUACCAUGAAAAAUUAAGAAAUCUAAUAGAUUUAACUAAUGAAAGCAUUUUCAUUUCAAUGAUUCUACACUUCCACCCAUAGUCAGUUGUGCCACGUGCAGGACACACAGGCUUCAGCAGUGGAUGAUCUCCAUUUUGUCUGAGGUUGAACGAGAUAGAGCUCCAUGUAAUCACUGAUGACCAAAUCGAGAAGUUGGUUCUUCCAUCAGGGAUCCCACCAACAGUAGAGGAGCUGCAAAGUGUUGUGAAGGAUACCUUUGGGAUUUCAAACGACUUCAGUCUUCAGUAUUUUAAACCAAAAUUUCAGGAUGACUUCAGUAUUCACAGAAGUUACCAGAUAAAAGACAAAGACACUGUGAAGGUUGUUGGCAUCACCCUGGUCAUCCUGCCAGUUUUCGGCAGCCCCUCUGAUCAACUGUCAACUGACUAUGACUCAUCAUCCAAUCCAGUUGUAUCCAAUGCAGACUCUGCUGCAACCACUUCUCAGGACACCAUUAUUCUCAAAAGGCAGAAGUUCACAGAACGUUGUGAGCGCUGGCCGAAACUGUUCCCCAUUCCACAGUCUGCAUACAAAACUGAAAUGUAACUGGAAAGAGCCACUGAGAGUAUAAAAAGAAUGGAAAUCUUCUGCCCACCUCCAAAGUAAAGACUGACAUUCUCGA
rnacentral:lncRNA from 1 species